AAGUUGUAUAUAAGGAGAGUAGGUUAGCACUCUUCUCGACAAGGCUGUAAGAGGUCCCAAUUGCUUUUAUAAACACAAAUACGGGUAAGUAGAACCGGUGCUAGACUAUUUU
rnacentral:ncRNA from 1 species